UACGAGGGGGGCAAGCGUUGUUCGGAAUUAUUGGGCGUAAAGGGCGCGUAGGCGGUGCGGUAAGUCACCUGUGAAAUCUCCGAGCUCAACUCGGAGCCUGCAGGCGAAACUGCCGUGCUGGAGUAUGGGAGAGGUGCGUGGAAUUCCCGGUGUAGCGGUGAAAUGCGUAGAUAUCAUGAGGAACACCGGUGGCGAAGGCGGUUCUCUGGUCCACAACUGACGCUGAGGUGCGAAAGCCAGGGGAGCAAACGGG
rnacentral:rRNA from 1 species